GUGCCAGCCGCCGCGGUAAUACGUAGGUGGCAAACGUUGUCCGGAUUCACUGGGCGUAAAGCGCGCGCAGGCGGAUUGGUCAGUCUGGGGUGAAAUCUCUCGGCUCAACUGAGAGAGGUCCCUGGAUACUGCCAGUCUUGAGGGGCUCAGAGGAGAGUGGAAUUCCGCGUGUAGUGGUGGAAUGCGUAGAUACGCGGAGGAACACCAGUGGCGAAAGCGGCUCUCUGGGGGCCACCUGACGCUGAGGCGCGAAAGCGUGGGGAGCGAACCGGAUUAGAUACCCUGGUAGUCC
rnacentral:rRNA from 1 species